rnacentral:snRNA from 1 species
AGCUACUCCUUUUGUUUUUAUAUCCCAAAGAUGACACUAAAGAGAAUAUUAGCAUGGCCCCUGCUUAAGGAUGAUAGGCAAAUACGUGAAGCGGAAAAAAAAUAU